rnacentral:rRNA from 1 species
UACGUAGGGUGCAAGCGUUAAUCGGAAUUACUGGGCGUAAAGCGUGCGCAGGCGGCUUUGCAAGACAGAUGUGAAAUCCCCGGGCUCAACCUGGGAACUGCAUUUGUGACUGCAUGGCUGGAGUGCGGCAGAGGGGGAUGGAGUUCCGCGUGUAGCAGUGAAAUGCGUAGAUAUGCGGAGGAACACCGAUGGCGAAGGCAAUCCCCUGGGCCUGCACUGACGCUCAUGCACGAAAGCGUGGGGAGCAAACAGG